rnacentral:misc_RNA from 1 species
UACAAAGUUAAAAGCAAAAUUUUAUGUUGCAGAUGAUCAGACAUCUCAUCUGUUGGUACCAGAAACUAAAAGUACACUUGCAUUCCAAGAAUAAGCAACAAUCAUAAAUUCAGGGGGCUAGUAGUUGAAUUGCACUGAGCCUUGCAAUUCUUUGGCAUUGAAUUGUGGCCCAACAUACAAAGAUUACAUUUCUGUUGAGUUCGAUAUCAGCUGUAACAACUCAAUAAAUGUUACAACAGCCUCAUUGAACAGAAGUAUAUUUCUGUCAAUGAGCAGUCAAUGGACUCAGAAUUCCAGUCACAACCUUCCUCAGUAAACAUCAAUUAUCUAGAAAUCAUAUAGAGUUAUUGUUGCAUUGGCCUUGAACCAAGUGUGAAAUAUUGUACAGUCAACCUAAAAAUUUUCUAUAAAAAUGAUAAAUGCAACUUCAAAUAAACCAUGCUUUCCUGCUUGACCGUGUUUGGCUAAUCCUUGGCUUCUGUUGCAGCAUGAAGUAGUUCGUCUGGAGUUGCAGCUGGAUCUAGAUCCCAACACUUAUCUGGCAAAUUCCUCGCUUCUCCUUCAAGUGACCAAGAUGGUACCUGGUGAGAAAAGCGUAACAUCUCUCUCCUAGGAAUCCAUCUAAUAGCAUCCUUGUUUGUGUUCCUCUGGUAUACUGUCUUGAAACCUGCCAACUUGACAAGAGGAGCGACACAGACUCCAAGCUCUUCCGAGUAACCAUCAAGAACCUCAACCAUUUCAUAUUGAUGCCUCACAUCAUCCGGGGUUGAUAUGUUCCAAUCAGGUGACCAGUUUUGAUAAACAGCCCAAAUAUCUCCUCUUUUGGGGUAUAUACGAACACAACCACCCCUGCCAGCUUUCUCCCCUUUCAAAACAUGAGAGAAAAUGUUCACUUGAUCGACAAUAUCAGUAUUCCAUGCUCUGAAGUGCCCACAAGAUUUAGUAAACCCAGAAUCUAUCCAAUUCACUGGCCCAAAUUCACUAUCAGUUUUAGAGUUUAAGUAAGUGAUGAGAAUCUUGAAGGGUUUAACUGAGAUAAUCUGGCGGAUCAAACAGUACAAGCGAGGCAUGCCGUCAUCUUCAUCAUAUAAAGCCCAUAUUUGCUUUGGCUUGAAGCAUUCCUCUGAUCUAUCUUUGUCAAAAUCAUGGAAAUCAGGAUCAGGCACCGUUAUUGAGAUUGGCCCAGCUUUAGAUGGCUUUAUUUGACGGCCAGAAACAUCUGAAUGAUCACAUUUAGGACCAACUCCUGCCUCUCUGGAUUGAUCUUGUGCUUUCUGUUUAACUGCAGCAGCUGCAAUGGCAGCAGACCUGAUCUCUUCUAAUUUCUUACGAAUGUCAGUCCUUGCCUUGUCAAUCAACAACUUCCUAGCAUCAAAAGCAGGUGCAAUUGAGAUGCGUCUUGCUGGGAGUUCAUUUGGAUUGGAAAGCUUUGGGUUAUGCUCGGCGCUGGCAUUUCCAUUAGCCAAUCCCACUUCUGGAGCAGAAUUCAAUCCCUUUUCUUCAUAUCCAUUCCUAAAGUUGGCUUCGAAAACAACCUUCCUUUUCUUAUCAGGUCUAACAGCCUUGGAACCUGAAGAUUCAUUGUAGCUGGCAGAGACACUUGAAUUCAUGUUACUAAUGGCAGCUUUAAUGGAACGCUUUCCAUUGGGUGAUGUUUUAAGAUUAGCUCUUGCUCCAGCAGCAUUUCCAUUAACCUGAUAAACAGCAUCAGUGGAUACAGCAGACGAUCCAUUAUGACCCACAACUCCAGAAGAAGUUCCAGAGAAUGAGCUCCACUGAAAUGACACAUUUGAAACAUACUCAUAUCCAUGUCCAGUGUGUAAUCCUGAAGCCCCAUUGCCUGUAAAUACAGCAGCAGUGGUUGGGACAUAUGUAACUCCAUCAUAUCCAUGACUUCCAUACCCGCUACCAGGAACAUAUGACCAGGGACAGUAAGGAAAAGAACCACUAACUGGAGCUGUCCCAGUUUCGACAGCAAUGAAAGUACCUCGACAGUUCUUACAUGAAAGUCUCUUAUUCACAUACUUCCGUAGAUACUCAUAUUGAACUUUACAAGAAGUGCAUACAGUCCAAAAGGUGUCAAGUCCAUGAGAACUUGAAGAAUUGGAACAAUUGUUAUAUCCUGUGACCCCAGUAGUAUGAACAGAAGAUAAGUUUGUCUGCACAACACAAGAUGCCAUCUGCUUGUUUCUCUUGAGAUCAUAAGAGCUCCGCUUAAGAUUAUCUGACAACAUGGUCCAUGCUUCAGAUACAAGUUUAAACGCCCCAUCAGCUCCCACAGUUUUAUUCUUAUCAGGGUGAAGCAACACAGCCAUCUUCCGGUACUGCUUUUUCACUGCAUCCCUGUCUGCAGAAGGCUUCAAUCCAAGAACUGAAUAAUAAUCAAUUUCGCCAUUGCAUUUAACCUCAGAUGCAAUAUAAACUUCAAAAGUGGCCACCAUCUGAGAUAUACCCUCCAGUCCAGGACACAGAUUUUUUGCCUUUAGAGCAUAAGUCUUCGCACCAGCAAAGUCUUUUUCAGCAAAUCGCUUCUCAGCAAUCGCUUUUGCUCUAAGGGCCUCCUCUACAUUGGCUUCCAUGUGGAAAUUCAAUUAACUUAUAAAGCCAAAAUCUUGACGCAAAAGCUAUGACCAGCUCAGCAUGCAUAACGUCAUAAGACACCCAAUUCUCAUGCAUAACCACAUUUUCUUCUCUGCAAAUAUUUUGUCAGAAUGUUUAGGUCCUUGUAGCAUCGAGCUUCAAGAAUACUCAGCGUAAAACUUUGAUUUGAACAGUGAAAUGGGAAGUGAAGCAAGACCCAGAUCGCCACGUGUACUUGGGAGCUCGAGAAAAUCAAGACAGUGACCUGAUUUCGUGAAUCUCAGUGUACUAUGAAGUUUCACACGCACAAAAACACAAACUCCUUUUUGCUGCUUAUUUUAUAGACGAUAACAAAGUGGAGAUAGUACAAUAAUUAUUAAGGAUUUAGGGUUUUUUAAGAGGAUGAUUAAUGGAUUGGGUCUUGGGUUGGCUGGUGGGUCAUAGUCCGGGUGGGAAUUUUUGGUGAAUCGGCGGCGAGGAUUUGGGAGGCUCCUGUCGAUCGCCGAUCGGAAAUGAGGGAAAAUUAAUAAAUAAAAAUGAUAAUUCAGU